rnacentral:rRNA from 1 species
UACGUAGGGUGCAAGCGUUGUCCGGAAUUAUUGGGCGUAAAGAGCUCGUAGGCGGUUCGUCGCGUCGGCUGUGAAAACCUGAGGCUCAACCUCAGGCCUGCAGUCGAUACGGGCGGACUUGAGUACUGCAGGGGAGACUGGAAUUCCUGGUGUAGCGGUGAAAUGCGCAGAUAUCAGGAGGAACACCGGUGGCGAAGGCGGGGUCUCUGGACCAUAACUGACGCUGAUGCACGAAAGCUAGGGGAGCAAACAGG